AUCUUCGUGGAUGCUGUGGGUUGUAGUAUUGUCAGUAAUUUGUACUGUUUAUCUUGUACCUCUUGGAGUGUAAUGUCUUGUGAUUGGGCUACCUGCUUAAACAGUUCUUGAAAUUGUUUCAGAUCGUCUACCAGUGGGGAAGGCAAUAUCUGGAAGACUGCUUUGUCCAGUCUAGUGGAUCUGGGUUCGUGUGAGGAGCUCUCUGAGUUCGAGUGAGGAAGAAGACUGCUCUGACUCUUGUCUUCAGCCGAGGACGGUAGAAAAGGAACCGAUGGGACACAUGCUGCACGCACACUCCAUAAAUGGCGGAGGCGCGAGACACUAGGUCGCGAAAAGGUCUAUUUGUGGUGAUCCCAAGCUCGGAAGAUGUUGUCCAGGACAUCGGGGCGAAUUUCCCACUCGUGGUCCUGAGGGAGAAGUCUGCUGGGAGCAUCCGCUGUGACGUUGUUCGUGCCAGGUAAGUAGGAUGCUAUCAGUGUGACGCAGUUUCUUAUGCACCAGUUCCAUAAGCUGUGCCUGUGCGCAAAGUAAUCGGGAUCAUGCUCCUCCUUGUCAAUUGACAUAAUACAUAGUUGCUAUGUUAUCUGUAAGCACUCGGACGGUUGUACCAGUGACGUGCGUGCGGAAAUGUUUGCAAGCAAGGAAUACAGCUUUUAGUUCCAGGAGGUUGAUAUGGGAAACUGCCUCCAUUGCCGGCCAUCUGCCUUGCAUGGACAUGCCAUCGAUGUGUGCACCCCAGCCCAAAAGGGAUGCGUCUGUAGUCAAUUGGGUCGAUGGCUGUUGACAUCUGAAUGGGACCCCUAUUAGCAGAUUUCUGGGGUUCAACCACCAACCUAGGGAUCUGCGAACUAAAGUAGUUGGUUAUCAAUUUGUGCGUGGAAUGCUUUGCUGGAGUAUACACCGAUGCCAGCCAGUGUUGGAGACAGUGAAAGUGAAGUCUCGCAUGUUGAACUACAAAGGUAGCGGCCGUCAUAUGCCCCAUGAGGCGGAGACAGGUAAGUACAGUGACUGUAGGGGCGUGGGUGACUACCGUUGCUAGCUCUUGUAUAACUUGGAAGCACUCGAGGUAAGUACGCACGGGCUGUGGUGGAAUCUAGACAUGCACCUAUGAAAUGU